AGAUUGAACGCUGGCGGCAGGCCUAACACAUGCAAGUCGAGCGGUAGAGAGGUGCUUGCACCUCUUGAGAGCGGCGGACGGGUGAGUAAAGCCUAGGAAUCUGCCUGGUAGUGGGGGAUAACGCUCGGAAACGGACGCUAAUACCGCAUACGUCCUACGGGAGAAAGCAGGGGACCUUCGGGCCUUGCGCUAUCAGAUGAGCCUAGGUCGGAUUAGCUAGUUGGUGAGGUAAUGGCUCACCAAGGCGACGAUCCGUAACUGGUCUGAGAGGAUGAUCAGUCACACUGGAACUGAGACACGGUCCAGACUCCGUACGGGAGCAGCAGUGGGAAUAUUGGACAAGUGGGACAAAGCCUAGAUCCAGCCAAUCGACCGCGUGUGUGAAGUAAGGUCUUACGGAUUUACGGUAAAGACUAACGUUUUAAAGGUUCGGGAAGGUAA
rnacentral:rRNA from 1 species